rnacentral:rRNA from 1 species
AGCAGCCGCGGUAAUUCCAGCUCCAAUAGCGUAUAUUAAAGUUGUUGCAGUUAAAAAGCUCGUAGUUGAAUUUCGAGAUCAAAUUGUUGGUCGUGCCUCGGUACGUACUGGCAUUAUUGAUUUCUCCCUUCUGAAGAACCACGAUGUCAUUAAUUUGGUGUCGUGGGAAAUCAGGACUGUUACUUUGAAAAAUUAGAGUGUUUAAAGCAGGCUCGCGCUUGAAUACAUUAGCAUGGAAUAAUGAAAUAGGACGUUUGAUUCUAUUUUGUUGGUUUCUAGGAUCGACGUAAUGAUUAAUAGGGAUAGUUGGGGGCAUUAGUAUUCAAUUGUCAGAGGUGAAAUUCUUGGAUUUAUUGAAGACUAACUACUGCGAAAGCAUUUGCCAAGGAUGUUUUCAUUAAUCAAGAACGAAAGUUAGGGGAUCGAAG